GCAUCAGUUGCCAUCCCUCCGUGUUAGCAGGUGCUACGCCGGGGAGCUUCCGUAUUGACUGACCCCUACAGAUUGUCGAUCUCCGAUUCUCUUCUCUGCUGAGCCAUCAAGUCAUGGAGAGAGUUGAUCUCUGCUCGACGUCGCUCAACCUCCGUCUGGUACUGCCGCACCUGUGCCCGUAAGUGGAGAAGCUCAUGUCCACGUGUCGUCUGGUCGCCUUAGCACUCACAAACACCAGCUUGAUCAGCAUUCUCCUCAAGCCAGAGCAACAUGCAACUAAGGGGAGAGAGUGCUGACCAACAAGAGGCAUCCAUUCUCCACAAGAGCCACAGGCUGGUAUACACAAGUUCAGGAUGCUUACAUAGAUGUGCAGUCCAUCUCAAGACCUGAAUGGCUUUUGGUUUUUAAUGAAGAUAGUAAUAGGAUGAGUAUUAAAUAAUUUUGUU